ensembl:misc_RNA Metazoa_SRP Metazoan signal recognition particle RNA
GCUGGGCGUGGUGAUGCAUGCCUGUAGUCCCAGCUACUUGGGAGGCUGAGGCAGAAGAAUCGCUUGAACCCGGGAGGCAGAGGUUGCAGUGAGCCGAGAUCACUCCACUGCACUCCAACCUGGGUGACAGAGCAAGACUCUGUCUCAA